UCAAAAUAGAAAACAGAGGUUGCAUUUGGAUUACUCAUUGGGUGGGCAUACUGCUGUUGUCUCUUGUGUGGCAUUUUCAUUGUUUGGGGAAAGAGGGAAAUUCAUAAUAUCAGGAGGGAACGAUAAAUCUGUGAAGGUCUGGGACUGGUCCACCUAUCUUGAUGCAAGGGAAGCUAAUGGCAACACUGAGCCACCUUUGAACAUCAAUCUCAGCAAAAAAGUCAAUUGGCUGUGUACCACUCCUACUGAAUCAGAAAACCUUGUUGUUUGUGAUACAACAAAAGUGGUAAAGGUCUACUCCAUAUCAUAGGCAAAAGCUACACAUUGUUGACUGUGGACAAAUAUUCCCUACUUUUGAGCACAAACCCCCAAUUUUCUGGCAUAGUGGAAGAUUGUCCAAAGUUUGCUUAGUCUGUUUACUAGAAGACCACACUUCAUUCUGUGAUUCCCAUUUUGUUUGGGAUCCAAAGGAAACUU